rnacentral:rRNA from 1 species
ACGCUCGACACCUACGGGAGGCAGCAGUUAGGAAUAUUGGGCAAUGGNGGAAACUCUGACCCAGCAACGCCGCGUGAAGGAAGAAGGUUUUCGGAUUGUAAACUUCUGAUCUAGGGGAAGAAGGAAGUGACGGUACCCUAGGAGAAAGCCACGGCUAACUACGUGCCAACAGCCGCGGUAAUCUGAGCGGGCUGGCAAGGC